AUUGAACGCUGGCGGCAUGCCUUACACAUGCAAGUCGAACGGUAACGGGCCUUCGGGUGCCGACGAGUGGCGAACGGGUGAGUAAUGUAUCGGAACGUACCUUUCAGUGGGGGAUAACGUAGCGAAAGUUACGCUAAUACCGCAUAUUCUGUGAGCAGGAAAGCAGGGGAUCGCAAGACCUUGCGCUGAUUGAGCGGCCGAUAGCAGAUUAGCUAGUUGGUGGGGGAAAGGCGCACCAAGGCGACGAUCUGUAGCGGGUCUGAGAGGAUGAUCCGCCACACUGGAACUGAGACACGGUCCAGACUCCUACGGGAGGCAGCAGUGGGGAAUUUUGGACAAUGGGGGCAACCCUGAUCCAGCCAUGCCGCGUGAGUGAAGAAGGCCUUCGGGUUGUAAAGCUCUUUCGGCCGGGAAGAAAUCGUAUCAGCUAAUACCUGGUGCGGAUGACGGUACCGGCAUAAGAAGCACCGGCUAACUACGUGCCAGCCGCCGCCGUAAAAC
rnacentral:rRNA from 1 species